UCCCUGGCAGUCCAGAGAUUAGGACUUGGCACUUUCACUGCCAGGGCCUAGGUUCAAUCCCUGGUUGGGGAG
rnacentral:tRNA from 1 species